rnacentral:rRNA from 1 species
UACGUAGGCAGCGAGCGUUGUUCGGAGUUACUGGGCGUAAAGGGUGUGUAGGCGGUCCUCCAAGUUCGGUGUGAAAUCUCCCGGCUCAACCGGGAGGGUGCGCCGAAAACUGGGGGGCUAGAGUGCGGGAGGGGAGAGUGGAAUUCCUGGUGUAGCGGUGAAAUGCGUAGAUAUCAGGAGGAACACCGGUGGUGUAGACGGCUCUCUGGACCGUAACUGACGCUGAGACACGAAAGCGUGGGUAGCAAAC